CUGCCUGGUGUAGCGAGGCCAGGGGCUAAGUCAUAGCUCCCCAGCCUUUGGCAUGUUGGGUCUUUCUGAGUCAAGGUCUCCAUGUGCGUCAGAUAGGGGUGAUUUGGGGUGUCCGAAUCACCUUGUGCCUCCCUUUCUUUUGGCCACCACAGUAUAAUCCAUCCACCCAUCCAGCCAAAUAUUUAUUGAGCACCCACUCAGCACCAGGCACUGGGCUUAGAAGUAGACCUGAUGGACAAUAAUCUGUGCAUUCCUGGAGCUGAUUGUGUGUGUGGGUGUGGGUGUGAUAGGCAGAAUAAUGGGAACCCCCACCCCACAAUAUCCACAUCCUAAUCCCUAGAACCUUCGAAUACGCUAGGUUACAUGGCAAGGGGGAAUCAAGGAGGCUAAUCAACGGACCUUGAGCUGGAAAGAUGAUCCUGGACUAUCCAGUGGGCCCAGUGGAAUCACAAGAGUCCUUCUAAGUGCAAGAGGGAGGCAGCCAGGGAGGGUGAGAGCCAGAGGGACGAAGCACAAGAGAGACCAGACUCACCACUGCUGGUCUUGAGGAUGGAGGAUGGAGCCAAGAAAGGCAGGUGGCCUGUAGCAGCUGACAAGGAAAAGAAACAGAUUCUGUCUUUGAAUCUCCAGAAGAAACUCAGCCCUGCCCCUGGAGUUUCACCUAAUGAGACCCAGCUUGAGCUUCUGAUCUCCACAACUAUGAGUUCUCCUUUAAUCCUACUGACUGUGGCCGGGAGGACGUCGCAGAUUGCAGCCACCGUGUCUCCAGCGCCUCUCUGAUGUUGGCCAAUCUCCUUUCUAACAAAACAGAAGAGCCCCAGGCUUAACACCUGCAGGAGCAUCAGUGUCCCACAUCAGCCUCAGACCAUCUCCUAGCACCAUGCCUGGGGGCACCUUUCGCAGUGCAGAGGGCACCUGUCUGCGCCCAUUUCCACAUCCCAGCCACAGGCCUCUCCUCCGGACUCCCACAGCUGCCUCCUCACUGCGCUGUGGGCCUCCACGCCUGCCCCCACUCUGUCACCUCCUCCACACCCCCACCACUGUGAGUCCCUAAAAACCAGCGUGUUCUGAGCGCUAAAAAUGUUCUCGAUCUAAUCACUGAGCGCUUUAUGUGUAUUAUGUUCCUUAAUUCUUAGAACAACUGGGAGGCCAAUACGAUGAUUGUCUCCAUUUUAAAGGAGGGCAGACUGAGGCUCAGCGUAGUAACCGGGCCAGGGUCACACAAUAAG